rnacentral:rRNA from 1 species
CAGCAGCCGCGGGAAUACGUAGGUGGCAAGCGUUAAUCGGAAUUAUUGGGCGUAAAGCGCGCGCAGGCGGCCUAUCCAGUCUGUCUUAAAAGUUCGGGGCUCAACCCCGUGAUGGGAUGGAAACUAGUAGGCUAGAGUAUCGGAGAGGAAAGCGGAAUUCCUAGUGUAGCGGUGAAAUGCGUAGAUAUUAGGAAGAACACCAGUGGCGAAGGCGGCUUUCUGGACGAAAACUGACGCUGAGGCGCGAAAGCUAGGGGAGCGAACGGGAUCAGAUACCCCGGUAGUCCCUGUCUCUUAUACC